UACAGAGGUCCCAAGCGUUGUUCGGAUUCCUUGGGCGUAAAGGGUGCGUAGGCGGCGCGGUAAGUCGGGUGUGAAAUCUCGGAGCUUAACUCCGAAACUGCAUUCGAUACUGCCGUGCUUGAGGACUGGAGAGGAGACUGGAAUUUACGGUGUAGCGGUGAAAUGCGUAGAUAUCGUAAGGAAGACCAGUGGCGAAGGCGGGUCUCUGGGCAUCUCCUGACGCUGAGGCGCGAAAGCGUGGGGAGCGAACAGG
rnacentral:rRNA from 1 species